GAUGAACGCUGGCGGCGUGCCUAUACAUGCAAGUCGAGCGAACGGACGAGAAGCUCGCUUCUCUGAUGUUAGCGGCGGACGGGUGAGUAACACGUGGAUAACCCACCUAUAAGACUGGGAUAACUUCGGGAAACCGGAGCUAAUACCGGAUAAUAUUUUGAACCGCAUGGUUCAAAAGUAAAAGACGGUCUUGCUGUCACUUAUAGAUGGAUCCGCGCUGCAUUAGCUAGUUGGUAAGGUAACGGCUUACCAAGGCAACGAUGCAUAGCCGACCUGAGAGGGUGAUCGGCCACACUGGAACUGAGACACGGUCCAGACUCCUACGGGAGGCAGCAGUAGGGAAUCUUCCGCAAUGGGCGAAAGCCUGACGGAGCAACGCCGCGUGAGUGAUGAAGGUCUUCGGAUCGUAAAACUCUGUUAUUAGGGAAGAACAUAUGUGUAAGUAACUGUGCACAUCUUGACGGUACCUAAUCAGAAAGCCACGGCUAACUACGUG
rnacentral:rRNA from 1 species